GACAGAGGGUGCAAACGUUGUUCGGAAUUACUGGGCGUAAAGCGCGUGUAGGCGGCCCGGAAAGUCGGAUGUGAAAGCCCUGAGCUUAACCUAGGAAGUGCAUUCGAAACUGCUGGGCUUGAGUUCUGGAGAGGAAGGCGGAAUUCUCGGUGUAGAGGUGAAAUUCGUAGAUAUCGAGAGGAACACCGGUGGCGAAGGCGGCCUUCUGGACAGUGACUGACGCUGAGGCGCGAAAGCUAGGGGAGCAAACAGG
rnacentral:rRNA from 1 species